CAUUCCCAGCCGCCACCCCGACACUGGCUGCCAUUCAGUCAAGCCCUUCCCAGACUGCGAGCUCACUGGCGCCGCCGCAACUCCGCCCCUCCGCAGGGCGGGACAAGCUGAGCCGAAACCACACCUGCAGCUUCAGCGAUUGGUGGAGAAGUUCAAGUAGGCACUUUCUACGAGGGGAGGAGUCCAAUUAGUGGACUAGCCCAAGACUGAAACAGCUGAUUUUCGAGAACCCGCGCGUGAGCCCCGGAACCGAAACUAGCUUGAGGAGCCUGGAGACGCCAAGGGCUCCAUGGGAAGGGGUGGGACCGGAAUUUCGACGCCUUGGGAUAGGAAGAGGAGGGCUGAGGAACUUCAAAACUGAUCUUAGUUCA
rnacentral:lncRNA from 1 species